UACGUAGGGCGCAAGCGUUAUCCGGAAUUAUUGGGCGUAAAGAGCUCGUAGGCGGUUUGUCGCGUCGGGAGUGAAAACACGGGGCUUAACCCCGUGCCUGCUUCCGAUACGGGCAGACUAGAGGUAUGCAGGGGAGAACGGAAUUCCUGGUGUAGCGGUGAAAUGCGCAGAUAUCAGGAGGAACACCGGUGGCGAAGGCGGUUCUCUGGGCAUUACCUGACGCUGAGGAGCGAAGGUGUGGGAGCGAACAGG
rnacentral:rRNA from 1 species